CCUACGGGUGGCAGCAGUGAGGAAUAUUGGUCAAUGGGCGUAAGCCUGAACCAGCCAAGUCGCGUGAAGGAUGAAGGUUCUAUGGAUCGUAAACUUCUUUUAUAAGGGCAUAAAGUGUGGGACGUGUCCUUUUUUGUAUGUACCUUAUGAAUAAGGAUCGGCUAACUCCGUGCCAGCAGCCGCGGUAAUACGGAGGAUCCGAGCGUUAUCCGGAUUUAUUGGGUUUAAAGGGUGCGUAGGCGGCCUGUUAAGUCAGCGGUGAAAGUCUGUGGCUCAACCAUAGAAUUGCAGUUGAUACUGGUGGGCUUGAGUAUGUUUGAGGCAGGCGGAAUGCGUGGUGUAGCGGUGAAAUGCUUAGAUAUCACGAAGAACCCCGAUUGCGAAGGCAGCUUGCCAAGCCAUGACUGACGCUGAUGCACGAAAGCGUGGGGAUCAAACAGGAUUAGAUACCCGAGUAGUC
rnacentral:rRNA from 1 species